rnacentral:rRNA from 1 species
UACGUAGGGCGCAAGCGUUAUCCGGAAUUAUUGGGCGUAAAGAGCUCGUAGGCGGUUUGUCGCGUCUGCCGUGAAAGUCCGGGGCUCAACUCCGGAUCUGCGGUGGGUACGGGCAGACUGGAGUGCGGUAGGGGAGAUUGGAAUUCCUGGUGUAGCGGUGAAAUGCGCAGAUAUCAGGAGGAACACCGAUGGCGAAGGCAGGUCUCUGGGCAUUAACUGACGCUGAGGAGCGAAAGCAUGGGGAGCGAACAGG